GACUAGGGUCGCUCAGCCUCCAAACCUCUACAGACAUUCAGAGCUGGGAGGACUGCUCACCCGUCUGGAUCGCCUCUGACGAGAUCCACGAACUCAGAUUCAAACUCAAAUCCUAAUUUGGCUCGGCUCGAACUGAGCGCGAUGAGGGUAAAUCCGGAUCUGGACUCCUUUCCCACCAUCAGCAGAAGAACCGAAGGAGAAGAAGCGCCGACCAACAACCAGAACAGGGUGGAAGCUCUGAUACCACAGCAGCUGGAGGACACAGACCACAGCAUGGACGCCUCAGCGACUCCACAACGUCUGCAGCCAUCACGUUCUGGGCUCAUCAGAUGAACCAGCUACUACAAGCGUGUGUGUCUGACACAGACACCUGCUUAUGACAAUCAGCAAAGGAAAACAAGGACAGAGCAACAGCAGAGAAGACAUGCUCUGACACAGACACUGGUUGAAACAACAGGAGAGGCUUCAGACGUGAUCGGCCCAAUAGAGCUGCAUGCGAGGAUCCAGGAAAGGUCUGUCAUCGAGGAACAACUGUCCCAUUGAAAGGCUUCACCCACUGGCGCUCACAUGAGACUGAUGGUUGGGGAAGGAGGAAGGUGACGGUUCCUUUUCACGUGACGUACAAGACGGUACCGCAAACACACACACACAUUCAUACACGCAAUGAAGAAACACGCUUACAGCUGAUACACGCUCAAAUUCAUGUUCAUGCUUAUCUGCUCGCAAUGAAGAAUCGCUUUUUGCUCAAAAAAAAAUCCCACAGAGUGAUUUUAAAAAUAUGACAAACAGCUAAAUGACAACUGCUGCAUGACUUUGCAGUCUGAUGGGUUCAAACUAUUUUAACUUGCAACAAAUUCAGUAAUAAAAUCCUUCAUGUUUCUAAAAAUACUUGUGCACAAUAUAGGUUUGUCUGGCCAGACUAUAGAAAAACAAAACCAGACUGUAGAAAAACAAAACAGACUAUAGGAAGACUGAGACUGACUGAAACAGACUAUUAAUGACUAUUAAAGGGAAGACGACUAUUAGAGAGAAGUAAUAAUAAUUACUGUACGUACCAGACUAUUAAAGAAAACUUAUUUUUUCACUGUCUUAUGCAACAUCUGACAGCGAGACACCUUGAGAUUUAUUGUUGCUUUCAAAUUUAUGCCCAGUUAAUUUUUAGGAAGAGGUCUUGUGUAGUUUAGGUAUUUGAUUGGUUUCCACUCCAGACGGAGUGCAGGUUACAUCUACAGACAUUCUAAAUAAUCCCUCUUUUGUUGGUGUUAACUUCAGCUCAGCUGUGCUCUUAUCAUUGGCUGCUGAGGGGGGGCUGUAACUGAGGCCCUCACACAGGCUGCAUCACAGCUUGUUUAUGAUUUCACACACACACACAAACUGACCUCAACCUCCCUCUUUUGGGAUGAACACAGGUCUGCGCUUGCGAUUUCAUUUACUAACGAACAAAAAGAUUUUUGAUUUUUAUUCUACAGUUCCACACGUCCCUCUGUGAAAACAUGAUGGAGACAGACGCAGGACGUGGGUCCUUUCGUGAACAGAUGUGAACGGGGUGGAGACUGGUGAACGACUUCUGACCCCAUGUGACGUAUUCACCUACUUUGCAUACUUUAAAAAAAAAAAAAAAAAAAAAAACUUUUUUUUAU